GGGUUGUGAGGUUAAGCGACUAAGCGUACACGGUGGAUGCCCUGGCAGUCAGAGGCGAUGAAGGACGUGCUAAUCUGCGAUAAGCGUCGGUGAGGUGAUAUGAACCGUUAUAACCGGCGAUUUCCGAAUGGGGAAACCCAGUGUGUUUCGACACACUAUCAUUAACUGAAUCCAUAGGUUAAUGAGGCGAACCGGGGGAACUGAAACAUCUAAGUACCCCGAGGAAAAGAAAUCAACCGAGAUUCCCCCAGUAGCGGCGAGCGAACGGGGAGGAGCCCAGAGCCUGAAUCAGUGUGUGUGUUAGUGGAAGCGUCUGGAAAGGCGCGCGAUACAGGGUGACAGCCCCGUACACAAAAAUGCACAUAUUGUGAGCUCGAUGAGUAGGGCGGGACACGUGGUAUCCUGUCUGAAUAUGGGGGGACCAUCCUCCAAGGCUAAAUACUCCUGACUGACCGAUAGUGAACCAGUACCGUGAGGGAAAGGCGAAAAGAACCCC
rnacentral:rRNA from 1 species